CAGGAAGAGGCCACACCAACUAAUGUAGCAAACGUGAAAUGCGGACACAAGCUGGUGAAGAGUGACUUACCCGAGCAGUGUAUCCACAUCUGUUUGAUGAGACGGGAGAUUGUAAACGUCACACUUUAGGUUGCAUUCACGUACAAGAAGGUUUCACCGAAGAUGAGCAGAUAACUCUCCGCCGACCGCGGAGCGCAGCCAAUGGAAGCGAGCUGCCGGCGCCGCUUCGACCAAUCAGAUCGCCAGCGCGGAGUUGGUGGAAGCUUUGGACGAACCAGGAAACACAUAAUUAUUGUAGUUCUAUACUUACUAACAACCUCCUUCG